AAGUCGUAACAAGGUUUCCGUAGGUGAACCUGCGGAAGGAUCAUUACCUUUCAAUGCAGCAGAAUGGGGAUGGUUGAGUUUCUCGCCUCUCUGUUCUGCCUGUAUUCUACCCUUGUUUGUCAUAUACUAUUAUUUCCUCGGCAGGCUUGCUUGCCGAGUGAAACCAAUUAUAACCUAUUUAAUUUUCAAUCAGCGUCUGAACAAAAUUAAUAAUUACAACUUUCAACAACGGAUCUCUUGGUUCUG
rnacentral:misc_RNA from 2 species